AUACUUACCUGGCAGGGGGAAUACCACGAUCAAGAAGAUAGUUUCCCCAGGAUGAGGCUGUUCCAUUGCAUAUUUUGGUUGGGUUGACCCCUGUGAUUUCCCCAAAUGUGGGAAACUCAACUCAAUUGUAUAUAUAUAUAUAUAUAUAUAUAUAUAUGUGUAUAUA